CAUAGCGACUAUCGUGGCAUAUCAAUAAGCGGAGGAAAAGAAACUAACAAGGAUUCCCCUAGUAACGGCGAGUGAAGCGGGAAGAGCUCAAAUUUGAAAUCUUAAAGGGUUUCCCUUUACGAAUUGUAGUUUAAAGAAGUGUUUUCUGUUGGAGUUUCGGUAAAAGUUCUUUGGAAUAGGACAUCAUAGAGGGUGAGAAUCCCGUAUUUGACCGUUACUUUCCAGCUGUGUGAUACACUUUCAAAGAGUCGGAUUGUUUGGGAAUGCAGUCCAAAAUGGGUGGUAAAUUUCAUCUAAAGCUAAAUAUUGGCGAGAGACCGAUAGCGAACAAGUACCGUGAGGGAAAGAUGAAAAGAACUUUGAAAAGAGAGUUAAACAGUACGUGAAAUUGUCAAAAGGGAAGCGUUUGACACCAGUGUUGUUUAGUUGAAAAUCAAUUCAAUAAUUUUUGAUUUUGAGUAGUAUUGACUUCAUCAGCUUGCUGCUUUCUUUUCCGAAAUUAUUGAAUGCACUUUUCAGUUAACAAGUCAACAUCAAUUUCUUUUGUUGUAAGAGGGUAAGAGGAAGGUGGCUUACGCUUCGGCGUAAGUGUUUAUAGCCUUUUACCUCUGCAAUCGGAGAGAUUGAGGACAGCAGCGUAGACUCCUUCGGGGGUUAGAUACACUUGUGCUAAGCUAUAGCCUUGUAUAGACAACUUGUUGACUAUGCUCAGUCAUGUAGCUUACUCGCUUGUGCUAUUUUACCUACGCUUAGGAUGUUGAUAGUCACAGCGUGUAC
rnacentral:rRNA from 1 species